UACGGAGGAUCCAAGCGUUAUCCGGAUUUAUUGGGUUUAAAGGGUGCGUAGGCGGCGCUUUAAGUUAGAGGUGAAAUCCCGUUGCUCAACAACGGAACUGCCUCUGAUACUGGAGUGCUAGAGAGUAGAUGCUGUGGGCGGAAUGUGUGGUGUAGCGGUGAAAUGCUUAGAGAUCACACAGAACACCGAUUGCGAAGGCAGCUCACAAAACUACAUCUGACGCUGAGGCACGAAAGCGUGGGGAGCAAAC
rnacentral:rRNA from 1 species